rnacentral:rRNA from 1 species
CAAAGGAGCAAUCCGCUGAAAGAUGGGCUCGCGUCCGAUUAGGUAGUUGGCGGGGCAACAGCCCACCAAGCCGACGAUCGGUAGCCGGACUGAGAGGUUGAACGGCCACAUUGGGACUGAGACACGGCCCAGACUCCUACGGGAGGCAGCAGUGAGGGAUAUUGGUCAAUGGGGGAAACCCUGAACCAGCAACGCCGCGUGAGGGAAGACGGUUUUCGGAUUGUAAACCUCUGUCCUCUGUGAAGAUGAUGACGGUAGCAGAGGAGGAAGCUCCGGCUAACUACGUGCCAGCAGCCGCGGUAAUACGUAGGGAGCAAGCGUUGUCCGGAUUUACUGGGUGUAAAGGGUGCGUAGGCGGCUUUGCAAGUCAGAAGUGAAAUCCAUGGGCUUAACCCAUGAACUGCUUUUGAAACUGCAGAGCUUGAGUGGAGUAGAGGUAGGCGGAAUUCCCGGUGUAGCGGUGAAAUGCGUAGAGAUCGGGAGGAACACCAGUGGCGAAGGCGGCCUGCUGGGCUCUAACUGACGCUGAGGCACGAAAGCGUGGGUAGCAACCAGGAUUAGAUACCCUGGUAGUCCACGCUGUAAACGAUGAUUACUAGGUGUGGGUGGACUGACCCCAUCC